CUCGGAUUCAAGCUGCUGGCGGGAAGUGCGCUAGGCGGAGCUGUGGUCUAGCGAGAGUCCCUGUUUCCCCCUUUUCUUCCUUUUCACAGGAUCUCACCCCAUAAAACCCUGUCUUACCAUUCAAAUUGUCUGUAAGCCUGAAUUUUCGCGGCCCUAAGACAAAGAACCUUGUCUUUCACUGAAUUUAAAAAAAGUCCUGCAACAUUUUUGGUGCACAACGUGGGGGUUCGAGAAGCGAUUUUCUGGUCAGAUUAAGCCAAGUAAAAUGAACUUAACUCAAAGCCUUGAAGACAGAAAAACUUAUAAAAGUACAGCCUGCAGUAUUCUCAUUCAGAAAGAACAACAGGGCAAAAGACCUGAAGAAGGAGCAUACUGCGGUUUUCAGAAUACCAUCGAGGAGGAGAGAGAUGUUCCAAGAAAUGGGCAUUUAUGGAAGAUUGUGAACUCAAUGAUGAAGAGGUACAGAGCUGCAGAAAGAAGGAGUCUACUGUUAUGAAUUGCCACAACUUGGAGGCUUAGAACAACACAAAUUAGUACUCUCACAGUCCUGAAGGCUACAGCUCUGCAAUCAAGAUAUCAGCAAGGCCAUCAUUCCACUAAGGCUCUAAGGAAGAAUCCAUUUUUGCCUCUUCCUGCUUCUGGUAACCCCAAGCAUUCCUUGACUUAUGGCAGCAUAAUUCCCAUUCUGUUUCUGUCUUCACAUGGUUUUCUUUUCUGUGUCCACGUAUGUUCUUUUCUGCCUCUUAUAAGGACACUGUCACUGGAUUUAAGGUCCACUCUGAUUCACCAUGAUUUCAUCUUAAUUUCUACCUCAGUUACAUUUACAAAGAUUCUAUGUCAAAAGAAGGUCACAUUCUAGGGCACCUGGUAGACUUAAAUUCUGGAGGGAAACAAUUCAACCCACUGUGGUUGGCUUUAGAUUAUUUAAUCUGAUAAUCUGUUUCUAUUAAUUACAGUAUUUUGUUCAUUUAUAUUUAUGGAAGUUACAAAUAGAGUUAUAUUUAAACCUAAAUAACAUGAGCUGCUUUUAUUUGUCAUAUACAGGCAUAGCUUGAAGAUAUUUUGGGCUCAG
rnacentral:lncRNA from 10 species